GUACACACCGCCCGUCGCUGUCCGGAACUGAGCUGUUUCGAGAAGACUGAGGACCGAUGUGCGGAGACUUCGGUUUCUGUACAAUGGAAAUCAGUUUAAUCGCAAUGGCUUGAACCGGGCAAAAGUCGUAACAAGGUACCUGUAGGUGAACCUGCAGAAGGAUCA
rnacentral:rRNA from 1 species